rnacentral:lncRNA from 1 species
GUUUGAGCGGAGACACAGUAGAUGGCAGUGCAUAACAUAAAUUACUUCUGCGGUGCAUGCUUCUAUUCCCUGCAGUAGCUGCCCAGAGCCAGUGAGGUUACACUGGCAGGCAUUGCUUGUUUCCCUGGCUCAAUGCAGAAAAAAGGAGAAGGCUUCUGCGAAGCAACCAAGCUACUCCAAAGCGUCGCUUUUGCUCGGUGGAUCAAGACUGCUGAAUCAGCAAAGGCAACUGCUACUCAUUUAGCCAGCCGAAUCACUGUCCAGGGUGAGAGCUGUACACACAUACCUCCUCAAGACCCUUCCUUACAAGGCGUGGAGCACGCUCAUGGUGGCAGUAUUUAUGAGGGUGUUUCCAACCUGGCGUUUUUAACGGAUCUGAAUUCCAGCUGUAUUCUUGCCAUUGUGGAGAGCCAAACACACUUCCUUUAUGCUCAUGGAGAUUUUAGGACUUCCCAAGAAGAAUUUAGGAGUGUUACUUGAGUGAAGAAAAUACCAAGGUGAAUCCCCAAGGUGAAAAAAACAUGGAGGAACUUUCAAGCUUUCUCCUGUUUCCCUUUUAUUCUGUAUUUUGUUUUGCAUGGACUUGCUAAUCUUGUGCAUCUGCCUGCUCACCUCUCCUGUGCUUUAGAUUUCUGCUUCGUUUGCCUUGGUCAUUCUCCUCCAGAGAAACCAUUCACUCACUAAAUCUCCUUCUAUUCCAAAUUUUCCUUCGAUGUUUCUUUUGUUUCCCUAAUUUCCUGUAAGGGAUUAUGGUCUACCUCUGAAAUUGUGACUGUAUGAUAUGAAAGACUGCUUUUAAAUAAGAUCCAAAGGUAUUUCUCUUCCUGCAGAUGUUUGGUUUGAAGGAUGGCCUGGGAAGAAAAGAGUUUCCUUUGCAUCAUGUUAGCAUGCAGCCACUUGAAGUAUUUGCUAUAACUUCCUCGUUCCUUGUUAGUGCAACUAAAACGUGAUGUUACUGCAGGAGUCACCUGCAAUGAUCUGAGCCUACACGAGGUGGCAGUACCGGUAUCCCACUGGUUCGUUCUCUUGGGUUAACUGGUUUCCAAAAAAUCUCCCUGUAAAUUAAUUGAUUCAUGUCAGAAGUGGGCAAGCUUGCAAACAAGUCCAUCUGGUAAGCAGCUUACUAUAUUUCUAUAUAAAUAAAGGAGAUCAUCCAACUUUUCCA